AAGGACACAUUUUUGCAAUUUCUCUGCAAUAUAUUGGCAGUUUUUUGCAACAUAAGGAGUAUAGUGAGCUUUGUGUAUCUGUAACAUGGAUAUAUUCUGAAUGGCCAUUCAAGACUUCUGAAGCAAAUGUUCUCUCAGACUAGAUUUCUUCACGGACUGCAGAAUAUAAAAUGACUCAACAUAAUGAGUAGUCUGUCAGUGACAGCUGACAAGUCAGACCAUCACUACUCAGGACGGGAGCCAUUUGUCAAAACCUUGCUCAUGUGACAUACAAGUCUUAUGAAACUGGGUGCACUGCUGUGUGUAAAAUGAAGAUAAAAUUAUAUUUGUGUGCCUUGACU